UACGUAGGGUGCAAGCGUUAAUCGGAAUUACUGGGCGUAAAGCGUGCGCAGGCGGUUUUGUAAGUCUGUCGUGAAAAUCCCCGGGCUCAACCUGGGAAUUGCGAUGGAGACUGCAAGGCUAGAAUCUGGCAGAGGGGGGGUAGAAUUCCACGUGUAGCAGUGAAAUGCGUAGAGAUGUGGAGGAACACCGAUGGCGAAGGGCAGCCCCCUGGGUCAAGGA
rnacentral:rRNA from 1 species